GGGAUCCUCUUUCUACCACUGAAGCCAUGAACAAUGUCGCGUUAUGGCUGGGUACGAGAGCCGGUGUUCUAUCGGAUUUCCCUUACCUGUGAAAAUUCUCUGUGAUGGUAAAAAAUUAGCCACAACCAAGCUGUGACUAUAACUGAAGACCAGCAAUGCUUGCCUAGAUACCAUGCCAUUCACUAUGCUUGGGAGCUUAUUGCUGGGAAUUCUAUGAGAAGUGAGAAC